GGCCUUGACAUGCAGAGAACUUUCCAGAGAUGGAUUGGUGCCUUCGGGAACUCUGACACAGGUGCUGCAUGGCUGUCGUCAGCUCGUGUUGUGAAAUGUA
rnacentral:rRNA from 1 species